UAAUACCAGCUCUCCGAGGGUAGGGGUGAUUAUUGGGCUUAAAGCGUCCGUAGCCGGCCUGGCAAGUCUUCCGUUAAAUCCAGCAACCUAAUUGUUGGGCUGCGGGGGAAACUGUUCAGCUUGAGUACGGGAGAGGAGAGCGGAAUUCCCGGUGUAGAGGUGAAAUUCGUAGAUAUCGGGAGGAACACCAGUGGCGAAGGCGGUUCUCUGGCCCGAUACUGACGCUGAGACGCGAAAGCGUGGGGAGCAAACAGGAUUAGAUACCCUGGUAGUCCACGCCGUAAACGAUGGGCACUAGGUGUAGGAGGUACUGAAUCCUUCUGUGCCGAAGCUAACGCAUUAAGUGCCCCGCCUGGGGAGUACGGUCGCAAGGCUA
rnacentral:rRNA from 1 species